rnacentral:sRNA from 1 species
GAGUCAAGCGGUGAACGUCCGGCAGCGCGUUGCGCCCCCGGGCGUGCUUUGC